GCUGUGGCUCAGUGGUAGAACAUCUACUUUGCAUGCUGAAAGGUCCCAGGUUCGAUCCCUGCCAUCUCCC